GAUCCUGGCUCAGGAUGAACGCUAGCUACAGGCUUAACACAUGCAAGUCGAGGGGCGAGCAUGGUCUUAGCUUGUCUAAGGCCGAUGGCGACCGGCGCACGGGUGAGUAACACGUAUCCAACCUGCCGUCUACGUCUUGGACAGCCUUCUGAAAGGAAGAUUAAUACAAGAUGGCAUCAUGAGUUCGCAUGUUCACAUGAUUAAAGGUAUUCCGGUAGACGAUGGGGA
rnacentral:rRNA from 1 species